CAUUCAGUAGCCUAGCUACUUGUUUAUACCCUUGUUUUUUUGCGUACCUAUUGUUUCCUCGGUGGGCUUGCCUGCCGGUUGGACAAAACUAUAACCUUUUUAAAUCUUCAAUCAGCGUCCGAAUUAUACAUAAUAAUUA
rnacentral:misc_RNA from 1 species